CACAGCCAGACUUCGAGCUUCCAAGCUACAGGAGGGAAGAGGGAGAAAGGAACAGAAAGGGAGACACAUAAACAUAUAGAAUCAAAGUUCCCGUGGAAUAAGGGCAAGCAGUACCAGGCCAAGCUUCAUUUAGAAAUAAAUACCUCUAAAACAACUAUCAACCACCCUGCUGAAGUCGUGCCAUUUGUCUGACUUCAUGAUGUCACUUCCUCUUUCUCCAGGGCUGUGACAGCUAAAGCAUAGCGGAAAGAGUCUGAACGUGGGGUCAAAUAGGCUGGAGUUAAAAAGUCUGCCAUUAUGAAAUGUAUGAACUUAUGCAAGUCAUGUGGCUUCUGAGUUUCCGUUUCCUCGACUGCAAAAAUGGGAAAAACAUAUCUAUACCUCACUGUUGCCACGCAGAAUAAUUAACUUCAUGCAUGUAAAAAGAUCGAGCAUAGUCCCUGGCACACAGCAGCACUCAAUAAAUGCUAGCUGAAUCCUAAUUACUGAAAA